GAUGAACGCUGGCGGCGUGCUUAACACAUGCAAGUCGAACGGAAAGGCCCAAGCUUGCUUGGGUACUCGAGUGGCGAACGGGUGAGUAACACGUGGGUGAUCUGCCCUGCACUUCGGGAUAAGCCUGGGAAACUGGGUCUAAUACCGGAUAGGACGAUGGUUUGGGUGCCAUUGUGGAAAGUUUUUUCGGUGUGGGAUGAGCUCGCGGCCUAUCAGCUUGUUGGUGGGGUAAUGGCCUACCAAGGCGUCGACGGGUAGCCGGCCUGAGAGGGUGUACGGCCACAUUGGGACUGAGAUACGGCCCAGACUCCUACGGGAGGCAGCAGUGGGGAAUAUUGCACAAUGGGCGCAAGCCUGAUGCAGCGACGCCGCGUGGGGGAUGACGGCCUUCGGGUUGUAAACUCCUUUCGCUAGGGACGAAGCGUUUUUGUGACGGUACCUGGAGAAGAAGCACCGGCUAACUACGUG
rnacentral:rRNA from 1 species